UCUUGUGGCUGAUAUGCUUCAUCUAAAAUGUAGAUGACCUGAUCAGAAUAUUCUUUUAUAAAACAUAUAGCGAUUAUCUUGAUCUGGGAACUAUAAAAUAUCUAUUAAAACGAUUAAUACUCCUCUGGUUAACCUUCUGAUUAAGCGACAUCAAUAGUAAGAUACGUCCUAACAUAAGACAUGUGGCGUGUGUAAUGUAAAAAGCAAAACUAUCACCAAAUCCUUUUUUUUUAAGGUGCCAAAAUAUUUAAUACAUUUUUGCAACACAAAAGAAAAUGAAACACAAAAUCUCUUUUACAUGGGUGCCAUGUUCAUAAGGUAGGUGGCAUUGUGAUCAUUUCAACCUAAGAUAAGUCUCUGAAGUUUUGAAGAUAAAUUAAUCUACAGAUGUGGUGGUUAGUUCUCUUUACUUUUCAAAAACUAAAGUGACAACCUACUCCAGUUUUUCUACAUUUCGACUUCGAAUGACUAGUCCCAAUGUGUCGAUGGAGUGGCCUAAUUGGGACCUUUUUCACAAAACUAGACAUGAAACUGAUGACCGAUUAGGGUAACAAGAAUAAGAUAAGGCUUGUCUUUGUGUUUUCCUUUUGCGUGCCUACCCUUCAACAUGACGCCCGGAAACGAAUCAUUGUGGGGUUUAAAGUUUGCCUUUUACCAGACCGCACCUUUCCCGCGACUCUUAACAAUAUAAGCAAUCCGGGAAAGGACUGGAUUAAAAAACACACACAUCCUGCAUGUAAAGGAAAUGUAGACUUUUCCAGUCAAACUUUGGCUAGUUUCGCUCCACCAAAAAGGGGAGCAAAAACAAUUGGCUGUUUCAACACGUGCCCAUUCAAAAGUUAACCUUAAUUCUUUCACAAUCAUGUCUGUUGGUUGACAUGAGUGUAUCUCAUCACAAAAA